GACGAACGCUGGCGGCGUGCUUAACACAUGCAAGUCGAACGGAAAGGCCCUGCUUUUGUGGGGUGCUCGAGGGGCGAACGGGUGAGUAACACGUGAGUAACCUGCCCUUGACUUUGGGAUAACUUCAGGAAACUGGGGCUAAUACCGGAUAGGAGCUCCUGCUGCAUGGUGGGGGUUGGAAAGUUUCGGCGGUUGGGGUUGGACUCGCGGCUUAUCAGCUUGUUGGUGGGGUGGUGGCUAACCAAGGCUUUGACGGUUAGCCGGCUUGUGAGGGUGACCGGCCACCUGGGCUUGGAAUGCGGCCCCGCCCCCCUUCGGACGGGAGGGGGGGGAAGGUUGUAUUAGGGGAGGGACGCAAGCCUGAUCAAGCCCCGGCGCGGGAGUACGGCCUCCGGUUGGUAACCCCCUUUCCCUUGGCCGGAACGGUAAUGACGGUAACGGGGUAAGAAGCCCCGGCUAACUCCGUG
rnacentral:rRNA from 1 species